CCUGUGUGUCCUGCCACCCCCCAUCCAGGGCUGCAUCUGGAGGAGAAGCACCUGGGCUCCAUUGUGAACCUGGGCCAGCUCCUUGGAUGAGGAAGGAGGGGAAGCAGUGGUGCCCACCCCUCCAAGGGGAGAGCCUUGGCUCCCAGCACCCACCCAGCCCCCAGCUUAACGACGCGAAGGAAGAGGUAGUAGAAGAGGCCAGAGAAGGCGAGGCUGGAGCCCAGACACAGCAGCUCCCCCGGAGUGAUGGGUUUGUCCAUGGUGCCAGGCUUGGGCAACAACGCCUGCAAGCAUCCCUCACGCUGAACUACAGUUCCUGUCAUGCCCUGCGCCGUCCGCUGGCAGAACCACGACUCCCAGCAGCCUUUGCGAGCGCCUCUGUCCGCGGCAGAUGAGUCCCGCGGGGUCCCGGUACCGGGGACUUCGGGAGACCCCGGCGUGGGGCUGGGGCCGCGCUGUGCGGGGCGGGACCGGCCGUGGCGGGCCCUGGGAGCUCGGAGUGGAGGCUCGGGCCAGGCUGGGAUCAGCAGCGGGACCCCCGGGCUGGGCUUUACCGGGGACUCCCGUGGCUCCCGGGCUCGUCCCCACCAGCCUUGCUGUGUUCUUCCCCACACCUCUGCUUCC